ACGCGAAGAACCUUACCCACGUUUGACAUGUCCCGUGUGGCUGCCAGAGAUGGCGGCCUUCAGUUCGGCUGGCGGGAACACAGGUGCUGCAUGGCUGUCGUCAGCUCGUGUCGUGAGAUGUUGGGUUAAGUCCCGCAACGAGCGCAACCCUCGCUACUAGUUGCCAGCAGGUUAAGCUGGGCACUCUAGUGGAACUGCCGGUGGCAAGCCGGAGGAAGGUGGGGAUGACGUCAAGUCCUCAUGGCCCUUA
rnacentral:rRNA from 1 species